rnacentral:rRNA from 1 species
CUGAUACAUCUAAGUACCCCGAGGAAAAGAAAUCAACCGAGAUUCCCCCAGUAGCGGCGAGCGAACGGGGAGCAGCCCAGAGUCUGAAUCAGCAUGUGUGUUAGUGGAAGCGUCUGGAAAGUCGCACGAUACAGGGUGAAAGUCCCGUACACAAAAGUGCAUGUGUUGUGAACUCGAAGAGUAGGGCGGGACACGUGGUAUCCUGUCUGAAUAUGGGGGGACCAUCCUCAAAGGCUAAAUAAUCCUGACUGACCGAUAGUGAACCAGUACCGUGAGGGAAAGGCGAAAAGAACCCCGGCGAGGGGAGUGAAAAAGAACCUGAAACCGUGUACGUACAAGCAGUGGGAGCACCCUUUGGGGUGUGACUGCGUACCUUUUGUAUAAUGGGUCAGCGACUUAUAUUCUGAAGCAAGG